ACUCCUACGGGAGGCAGCAGUGGGAAUAUUGCACAAUGGGCGCAAGCCUGAUGCAGCCAUGCCGCGUGUGUGAAGAAGGCCUUCGGGUUGUAAAGCACUUUCAGUUGUGAGGAGGUGGGUGUCGUUUAAUAGCGGCAUCAUUUGACGUUAGCAACAGAAGAAGCACCGGCUAACUCCGUGCCAGCAGCCGCGGUAAUACGGAGGGUGCGAGCGUUAAUCGGAAUUACUGGGCGUAAAGCGCAUGCAGGUGGUUUGUUAAGUCAGAUGUGAAAGCCCGGGGCUCAACCUCGGAACUGCAUUUGAAACUGGCAGACUAGAGUACUGUAGAGGGGGUAGAAUUUCAGGUGUAGCGGUGAAAUGCGUAGAGAUCUGAAGGAAUACCGGUGGCGAAGGCGGCCCCC
rnacentral:rRNA from 1 species